rnacentral:rRNA from 1 species
AACGAACGCUGGCGGCAUGCCUAACACAUGCAAGUCGAACGAGACCUUCGGGUCUAGUGGCGCACGGGUGCGUAACGCGUGGGAAUCUGCCCUUGGGUUCGGAAUAACAGCGAGAAAUUGCUGCUAAUACCGGAUGAUGACGUAAGUCCAAAGAUUUAUCGCCCAAGGAUGAGCCCGCGUAGGAUUAGCUAGUUGGUGAGGUAAAGGCUCACCAAGGCGACGAUCCUUAGCUGGUCUGAGAGGAUGAUCAGCCACACUGGGACUGAGACACGGCCCAGACUCCUACGGGAGGCAGCAGUGGGGAAUAUUGGACAAUGGGCGAAAGCCUGAUCCAGCAAUGCCGCGUGAGUGAUGAAGGCCUUAGGGUUGUAAAGCUCUUUUACCCGGGAUGAUAAUGACAGUACCGGGAGAAUAAGCUCCGGCUAACUCCGUGCCAGCAGCCGCGGUAAU